UGGCCCAUCCUAAUUCUUGCAGGUCAGCCUAUGCCAUACCAGAUAUAGUUUGUGUGCCAGAGGACCUCAGAAGCCUCUCCUGAAUGAGUGAGCAAGGUUUUAGUGGGGUUGUGCCACAGGUCCCCUGGACACUC
rnacentral:snoRNA from 1 species